rnacentral:rRNA from 1 species
ACUAAGCAUAUCAAGCGGAGGAAAAGAAACUAACAAGGAUUCCCCUAGUAACUGCGAGUGAAGCGGGAUGAGCUCAAAUUUGAAAUCUGGCGGUUCUGCCGUCCGAGUUGUAAUCUGGAGAAGCGUCUUCCGUGCCGGACCGUGUACAAGUCCCUUGGAACAGGGCGUCAUAGAGGGUGAGAAUCCCGUCUUUGACACGGACUCCCGGUGCUCUGCGAUGCGCUCUCGAAGAGUCGAGUUGUUUGGGAAUGCAGCUCAAAAUGGGUGGUAAAUUCCAUCUAAAGCUAAAUAUUGGCGAGAGACCGAUAGCGAACAAGUACCGUGAGGGAAAGAUGAAAAGCACUUUGGAAAGAGAGUAAAACAGUACGUGAAAUUGUUGAAAGGGAAACGCUUGAAGUCAGUCGCGUCUUCUGGGACUCAGCCUUGCUCUGCUCGGUGCACUUCCCAGUUUGACGGGUCAGCAUCGGCUCUGGUGGGCGGACAAAGGCGUGGGGAAGGUGGCAGCCUCGGCUGUGUUAUAGCCCCGCGUUACACGUCCACCGGGACCGAGGAAUCCGGCGCUCGCGCCUGGGAUGCUGGCGUAAUGGCUUUAAACGACCCGUCUUGAAACACGGACCAAGGAGUGCUACAUGCUCGCGAGUGUUUGGGUGGAAAACCCGAGCGCGAAAUGAAAGUGAAAGUCGAGACCCUUUGCGGGGGCACCGACGCCCGAGCCUGAUGUUUUCGGAAGGCCUUGCGGUAGAGCGAGUAUGUUGCGACCCGAAAGAUGGUGAACUAUUCCUGAGGAGGGCGAAGCCAGAGGAAACUCUGGUGGAGGCUCGUAGCGGUUCUGACGUGCAAAUCGAUCGCAGGACUUGGGUAUAGGGGCGAAAGACUAAUCGAACCAUCUAGUAGCUGGUUCCUGCCG